ACACGCAGUUAGUGGUAUCGCCAAGGGAACAUUGUCCAUCAUGUCUCUUUGGGCCUCCUGAUGCUCCACUCGAUGUGAGAAUAUGAGGAUCAAUCAAGAGAAGAGACUAACCUCGAGACAGAGCACUAAAUCGAGCAGAAAACAGGAAGGCCUGUCUUGGGCCUCCAUUUGCGUAAACCUACAGACGCCAUCAACUCCUCCAACAGCCAAGGCCUUUUCUGACCACAAGGGGGCGCCCGCAUCAUGCUUUAAUAUAGUACGUGCUUGGGAUGUUGAGAGCGUGGAAGACUGCAGUCUCAAAAUACAGAUAGGGAAACUGAGGCCAGGAGAAAGCAAAGGGUUCCUAAGUCAUUCUGGACACAUGGCACAUAUGUGUGUACAUGCAUCUGGAAGCCAAGACUCAAUGGGCUCCUUCAUUGCUCUCGUCUGAGUAUUUUUAAAACAAACUCUGUCACGGAACCAGUGUAAAACUGCCUUGUCCACAAGCCCCUGGAAUCCACGCGUCUCUGCUUCCCCAGCCCUAGAAUCACAGGAGAACACCACUGCAGCCAGCUGGUUAGAGGUAUAGACUGUUGCUAUCUAGAAUCAGAAGCUGUGGCAUACUGCAACUGUUUCCAUAGUUCCUGGAGGCUACUUUGUAUCCAUCUUGUUCAUCAAACCCUCAGCUCCUGCUUCACCGUAAGGAGCAAAGGAGAGAAUGGCUGAAAUCCUUUGAACUCUUCAAGAUCCUGUUCUCAAUGUCUACAAGGGUUCUACCAAGCCCCACCUCUUAAAGCUUCCACCAGAAGCUGAAGGCCAAGCCUUUGACACAAGGGCCUUUGGAGAAUGCUUCUCUAAGCCAAAGCAGUGACUUACU
ensembl:lincRNA 4930524O08Rik RIKEN cDNA 4930524O08 gene